rnacentral:rRNA from 2 species
CGCAGCCUGAUGGAGCACACCGCGUGAGUGAAGAAGGGUUUCCGGCUCCGUAAAGCUCUGUUGUUGGAGAAGAACGUGCGUGAGAGUAACUGUUCACGCAGUGACGGUAUCCAACCAGAAAGUCACGGCUAACUACGUGCCAGCAGCCGCGGUAAUACGUAGGUGGCAAGCGUUAUCCGGAUUUAUUGGGCGUAAAGCGAGCGCAGGCGGUUGCUUAGGUCUGAUGUGAAAGCCUUCGGCUUAACCGAAGAAGGGCAUCGGAAACCGGGCGACUUGAGUGCAGAAGAGGACAGUGGAACUCCAUGUGUAGCGGUGGAAUGCGUAGAUAUAUGGAAGAACACCAGUGGCGAAGGCGGCUGUCUGGUCUGCAACUGACGCUGAGGCUCGAAAGCAUGGGUAGCGAACAGGAUUAGAUACCCUGGUAGUCCAUGCCGUAAACGAUGAGUGCUAGGUGUUGGAGGGUUUCCGCCCUUCAGUGCCGGAGCUAACGCAUUAAGCACUCCGCCUGGGGAGUACGACCGCAAGGUUGAAACUC